rnacentral:rRNA from 1 species
UUCUGGCCUCUAGGGGCAUGUGCACGCUUCACUAGUCUUUCAACCACCUGUGAACUUUUGAUAGAUCUGUGAAGUCGUCUUUCAAGUCGUCAGACUUGGUUUGCUGGGAUUUAAACGUCUCGGUGUGACAACGCAGUCUAUUUACUUAACACACCCCAAAUGUAUGUCUACGAAUGUCAUUUAAUGGGCCUUGUGCCUAUAAACCAUAAUACAACUUUCAACAACGGAUCUCUUGGCUCUCGCAUCGAUGAAGAACGCAGCGAAAUGCGAUAAGUAAUGUGAAUUGCAGAAUUCAGUGAAUCAUCGAAUCUUUGAACGCACCUUGCGCCCCUUGGUAUUCCGAGGGGCAUGCCUGUUUGAGUGUCAUUAAAUUCUCAAACUCACUUUGGUUUUUUCCAAUUGUGAUGUUUGGAUUGUUGGGGGCUGCUGGCCUUGACAGGUCGGCUCCUCUUAAAUGCAUUAGCAGGACUUCUCAUUGCCUCUGCGCAUGAUGUGAUAAUUAUCACUCAUCAAUAGCACGCAUGAAUAGAGUCCA